CAAUAGCGUAUAUUAAAGUUGUUGCAGUUAAAAAGCUCGUAGUUGGACCUUAGGCAAGGCGGCCUGGUCACCCUCUGGGUGUACUGGGAUCGCUGCGCCUCACCUUCGGGGAGCUAGUCGUGCUUCGGUGCGCUAGGGAACCGAGCCUUACCUUGAGGAAAUUAGAGUGUUUAAAGCAGGCUUAUGCUUGAAUACGUUUGCAUGGAAUAACAUGAUAGGACUUUGGUUCUAUUUUGUUGGUUUGAGGACCAAAGUAAUGAUUAAUAGGGACAGUUGGGGGCAUUAGUAUUCAAUAGUCAGAGGUGAAAUUCUUGGAUUUAUUGAAGACUAACUAAUGCGAAAGCAUUUGCCAAGGAUGUUUUCAUUAA
rnacentral:rRNA from 1 species